GCAGACACAUUCCAGCCAAUCAGCAGCAGACCCUCCCUCCCAUACCCUUCCACCUCCUGGACAGCAUCCAUUUUACAUUCAUUGUGAAGCUGCAUUCUUAGUGAGCUGUCCAGGAGGUGGGAGGGUCUGGGAGGAAGGGUCUGCUGCUGAUUGGCUGUAAUGUGUCUG